rnacentral:rRNA from 1 species
GAGUUUGAUCUUGGCUCAGAUUGAACGCUGGCGGCAUGCUUUACACAUGCAAGUCGAACGGUAACGCGGGGGCAACCCUGGCGACGAGUGGCGAACGGGUGAGUAAUACAUCGGAACGUGUCCUGGAGUGGGGGAUAGCUCGGCGAAAGCCGGAUUAAUACCGCAUACGCUCUGAGGAGGAAAGCGGGGGACCUUCGGGCCUCGCGCUGCGGGAGCGGCCGAUGUCGGAUUAGCUAGUUGGUGGGGUAAAGGCCUACCAAGGCGACGAUCCGUAGCUGGUCUGAGAGGAUGAUCAGCCACACUGGGACUGAGACACGGCCCAGACUCCUACGGGAGGCAGCGGUGGGGAAUUUUGGACAAUGGGGGCAACCCUGAUCCAGCCAUGCCGCGUGAGUGAAGAAGGCCUUCGGUUGUAAG